GCUAAAGUGUGUCAGGGAGAGUCGGUAAUAACAAGGGGGCAAGCGUUAACGGUAAUUACUGGGCGGAAAGCGUGCGUAGGUGGUUCUGUAAUGCGGUUGUGAAAUCCCCGGGCUCAAGCUGGGAAUGGCAGUGGAUACUGGGGAGCUAGAGUGUGAUAGAGGAUGGUGGAAUUCCCGGUGUAGCGGUGAAAUGCGUAGAGAUCGGGAGGAACAUCAGUGGCGAAGGCGGCCAUCUGGAUCAACACUGACGCUGAGGCACGAAAGCGUGGGGAGCAAACAGGAUUAGAUACCCCGGUAGUC
rnacentral:rRNA from 1 species